UACGAAGGGGGCUAGCGUUGUUCGGAAUUACUGGGCGUAAAGGGCGCGUAGGCGGUGUGUCAAGUCAGGCGUGAAAGCCCCGGGCUCAACCUGGGAACUGCAUUCAAAACUGACAAGCUAGAGUAUGGUAGAGGGUGGUGGAAUUUCCUGUGUAGCGGUGAAAUGCGUAGAUAUAGGAAGGAACACCAGUGGCGAAGGCGACCACCUGGACUGAUACUGACACUGAGGUGCGAAAGCGUGGGGAGCAAACAGG
rnacentral:rRNA from 1 species